AUAUUUACCUAGCAGGAGACAUACCAUGAUCAUGAAGGUUGUUUUCCCAGGGCGAGGCUUAUCCAUUGCACUCUGGAUAUGCUGACUCCUGUGAUUUCCCAAAAUGUGGGAAACAUGACUGCAUAAUUUGUGGUAGUGGGGGACUGCAUUUGCACUCUCCUC
rnacentral:snRNA from 1 species